rnacentral:misc_RNA from 1 species
AUUUUUAUUGUUUUAGAUUUAUACUCUGAUAUACAAUUUUUGUGAACUUUUUUUUAAAAUCUGAACAUUGAUACUUUUUUAUCUCAUGAGAUAGUAAUUUAUCUCAAGACAGUAACAAUGUGGAUAAGAGCAUUUUUUUGUAUGAAUCUUUCAUCAAACUGAAUGUGGAAGCUGAACAUUCAAGAAAUGACAUUCUUGUCAAAUAUUUGUACAUUAUAAAACCAUCUUUUAUGUGACCUUUUUUGAAGUAAAACUUUAUUUUGAUUUAAACACAAACAAAACAACGAAAAAAACAGUGUUUCACUUUUGCUCAAAGUUUGCUUGUAUUUAAAACUGUUUGCCUUCUAUUGAUUAAAUUAUAGCAUUCCAGGCU